rnacentral:rRNA from 1 species
UACGAAGGUGGCAAGCGUUGUUCGGAUUUACUGGGCGUACAGGGAGCGUAGGCGGUUGGAUAAGCCCUCCGUGAAAUCUCCAGGCUUAACCUGGAAAGUGCAGAGGGGACUGUUCAGCUAGAGGAUGGGAGAGGAGCGCGGAAGUUCCCGGUGUAGCGGUGAAAUGCGUAGAGAUCGGGAGGAAGGCCGGUGGCGAAGGCGGCGCUCUGGAACAUUUCUGACGCUGAGGCUCGAAAGCGUGGGAGCAAACAGG